rnacentral:tRNA from 1 species
GGGGGUGUUGUAGCGCAGCCUGGUUAGCAGCGUGGCGCGGUGCGCCAAGGUCGCCAGUUCAAAUCUGGCCGCCCCGA